rnacentral:misc_RNA from 1 species
GAUGAAGAACGUAGCGAAAUGCGAUAAGUAAUGCGAAUUGCAGAAUUCAGUGAGUCAUCGAAUCUUUGAACGCACAUUGCGCCCUGUGGUAUUCCGCAGGGCAUGCCUGUUCGAGCGUCAUUUCAACCCUCAAGCUCUGCUUGGUGUUGGGCCCUGCCCGCUGCGGCCGGCCCUAAAGACAGUGGCGGUGCCGCCUGGCCCUGAGCGUAGUACAUCUCGCGCUCCAGUGCCCGGUGGUAGCCUGCCAGAACCCCAACUCUCGUGGUUGACCUCGGAUCAGGUAGGGAUACCCGCUGAACUUAAGCAUAUCAAUAAGCGGAGGA